UACGGGGGGGGCAAGCGUUGUUCGGAAUUACUGGGCGUAAAGGGCUCGUAGGCGGCCAACUAAGUCAGACGUGAAAUCCCUCGGCUUAACCGGGGAACUGCGUCUGAUACUGGAUGGCUUGAGUUUGGGAGAGGGAUGCGGAAUUCCAGGUGUAGCGGUGAAAUGCGUAGAUAUCUGGAGGAACACCGGUGGCGAAGGCGGUUGCCUGGAGCUUUGCUGACGCUGAUGCGCGAAAGCGUGGGGAGCGAUCCGG
rnacentral:rRNA from 1 species